rnacentral:rRNA from 1 species
UACGGAGGGUGCGAGCGUUGUCCGGAAUCACUGGGCGUAAAGGGCGCGUAGGCGGCGCGGGAAGUCCGUGGUGAAAGCCCGAGGCUCAACUUCGGGUCGGCCAUGGAUACUCCUGGGCUCGAGCACUGUAGAGGCAGGUGGAAUUCCGGGUGUAGCGGUGGAAUGCGUAGAGAUCCGGAAGAACACCGGUGGCGAAGGCGGUUCUCUGGGCCUUACCUGACGCUGAGGAGCGAAAGCGUGGGGAGCAAACAGG